rnacentral:rRNA from 1 species
AACGCGUGGGAAUCUACCCAUUGGUGCGGAAUAACUCGGGGAACUCGGGCUAAUACCGCAUAAGCCCUCCGGGGGAAAGAUUUAUCGCCAAUGGAUGAGCCCGCGUUGGAUUAGCUAGUUGGUGGGGUAAUGGCCCACCAAGGCGACGAUCCAUAGCUGGUCUGAGAGGAUGAUCAGCCACACUGGGACUGAGACACGGCCCAGACUCCUACGGGAGGCAGCAGUGAGGAAUAUUGGACAAUGGGCGCAAGCCUGAUCCAGCCAUGCCGCGUGAGUGAUGAAGGCCCUAGGGUUGUAAAGCUCUUUCAGUAGGGAAGAUAAUGACGGUACCUACAGAAGAAGCCCCGGCUAACUUCGUGCCAGCAGCCGCGGUAAUACGAAGGGGGCUAGCGUUGUUCGGAAUUACUGGGCGUAAAGCGCGCGUAGGCGGAUUGUUAAGUCAGGGGUGAAAUCCCGAGGCUCAACCUCGGAACUGCCUUUGAUACUGGCAAUCUAGAGUCCGGAAGAGGUGAGUGGAAUUCCUAGUGUAGAGGUGAAAUUCGUAGAUAUUA